rnacentral:rRNA from 1 species
UACGUAGGUGGCGAGCGUUGUCCGGAUUUACUGGGCGUAAAGGGUGCGUAGGCGGAUAUUUAAGUGGGAUGUGAAAUACCCGGGCUCAACUUGGGUGCUGCAUUCCAAACUGGAUAUCUAGAGUGCGGGAGAGGAGAGUGGAAUUCCUAGUGUAGCGGUGAAAUGCGUAGAGAUUAGGAAGAACACCAGUGGCGAAGGCGACUCUCUGGACCGUAACUGACGCUGAGGCACGAAAGCGUGGGGAGCAAAC